CACGAACGCUGGCGGCAGGCUUAACACAUGCAAGUCGAGCGCCCCGCAAGGGGAGCGGCAGACGGGUGAGUAACGCGUGGGAAUCUACCCAUCUCUACGGAAUAACGCAUGGAAACGUGUGCUAAUACCGUAUACGUCCUUCGGGAGAAAGAUAUAUCGGAGAUGGAUGAGCCCGCGUUGGAUUAGCUAGUCGGUGGGGUAAAGGCCUACCAAGGCGACGAUCCAUAGCUGGUCUGAGAGGAUGAUCAGCCACACUGGGACUGAGACACGGCCCAGGCUCCUACGGGAGGCGGCAGUGGGGAGUAUUGGACAAUGGGCGCAAGCCUGAUCCAGCCAUGCCGCGUGAGGGAUGAAGGGCCUAGGGUUGUAAAGCUCUUUCACCGGUGAAGAUAAUGACGGUAACCGGAGAAGAAGCCCCGGCUAACUUCGUGCCAGCCGCCGCAGUAACAC
rnacentral:rRNA from 1 species